AACGAACGCUGGCGGCAUGCCUAACACAUGCAAGUCGAACGAGACCUUCGGGUCUAGUGGCGCACGGGUGCGUAACGCGUGGGAACCUGCCCUUAGGUUCGGAAUAACUCCCCGAAAGGGGUGCUAAUACCGGAUAAUGUCUUCGGACCAAAGAUUUAUCGCCUUUGGAUGGGCCCGCGUUGGAUUAGCUAGUUGGUAGGGUAAAAGCCUACCAAGGCGACGAUCCAUAGCUGGCCUGAGAGGAUGACCAGCCACACUGGGACUGAGACACGGCCCAGACUCCUACGGGAGGCAGCAGUGGGGAAUAUUGGACAAUGGGCGAAAGCCUGAUCCAGCAAUGCCGCGUGAGUGAUGAAGGCCUUAGGGUUGUAAAGCUCUUUUACCCGGGAUGAUGAUGACAGUACCGGGAGAAUAAGCGCCGGCUAACUCCGUG
rnacentral:rRNA from 1 species